GUAGGUGGCAAGCGUUGUCCGGAAUUAUUGGGCGUAAAGCGCGCGCAGGCGGUUCGUUUAAGUCUGAUGUGAAAGCCCACGGGCUCAACCGUGGAGGGUCAUUGGAAACUGGAGAACUUGAGUACAGAAGAGGAAAGCGGAAUUCCACGUGUAGCGGUGAAAUGCGUAGAGAUGUGGAGGAACACCAGUGGCGAAGGCGGCUUUCUGGUCUGUAACUGACGCUGAGGCGCGAAAGCGUGGGGAGCAAACAGGAUUAGAUACCCUGGUAGUCCACGCCGUAAACGAUGGGUGCUAAGUGUUAGGGGGUUUCCGCACCUUAGUGCUGCAGCUAACGCAUUAAGCACUCCGCCUGGGGAGUACGGCCGCAAAGGCUG
rnacentral:rRNA from 1 species